rnacentral:rRNA from 1 species
UACGUAGGGUGCGAGCGUUAAUCGGAAUUACUGGGCGUAAAGCGUGCGCAGGCGGCGCGUUAAGACAGGUGUGAAAGCCCCGAGCUUAACUUGGGAAUUGCGCUUGUGACUGGCGUGCUGGAGUGUGGCAGAGGGAGGUGGAAUUCCACGUGUAGCGGUGAAAUGCGUAGAUAUGUGGAGGAAUACCGAUGGCGAAGGCAGCCUUCUGGGCCAACACUGACGCUCAUGCACGAAAGCGUGGGGAGCAAACAGG